GCAUAUCCAUAAGCGGAGGAAAAGAAACCAACAGGGAUUGCCCCAGUAACGGCGAGUGAAGCGGCAACAGCUCGAAUUUGAAAUCUGGCCCUUCCGGGUCCGAAUUGUAAUCUGUAGAGGACGCUUUUGGCGCGGUGCCUUCCGAGUUCCCUGGAACGGGACGCCACAGAGGGUGAGAGCCCCGUAUGGUCGGACACCAAGCCUCUAUAAAGCUCCUUCGACGAGUCGAGUAGCUUGGGAAUGCUGCUCUAAAUGGGAGGUAAACUUCUUCUAAAGCUAAAUACCGGCUAGAGACCGAUAGCGCACAAGUAGAGUGAUCGAAAGAUGAAAAGCACUUUGAAAAGAGGGUUAAACAGUACGUGAAAUUGUUGAAAGGGAAGCGCUUGUGACCAGACUUGCGCCGGGCUGAUCAUCCAGCGGUUUCCGCUGGUGCACUCGGCCCGGCUCAGGCCAGCGUCGGUUGUCGUGGGGGGACAAAAGCUCUGGGAAUGUGGCUCCCUCCGGGGAGUGUUAUAGCCCUAUGCAGAAUAUCCCCGCGGCGACCGAGGUCCGCGCCCUGCAAGGACGCUGGCGUAAUGGUCAUCAGCGACCCGUCUUGAACACCCGACC
rnacentral:rRNA from 1 species